rnacentral:lncRNA from 1 species
GCCUCGCCCCUCAGGCCUCUCACGCUUAUAGGUGUUGGCCCUACUACGCGUAUUUAUAGAAGAGGCCCAGGAGCUUGUGCCCAAGGUGUCCCUGGGGCAGGGGUGGGACACAGACUCAUCAUUCCUCCAGUCCCUACUCCCCCUGUACGUGGGCCCACCACCAGCUCCAGCAGUUGGGUAAGCAACGGGGCUGGGAACCACCACCAGGAGGCCAGGAGCCUCCAUGAUGACAUUGCAGCACCUCACAAAGCCCCACAGAAGCUCCCCUUCAGUCGGGUGCCCCGUGCUGGCCCCUGCUCCCCCUACCAAUCACCACAUGGACCCCGUGAUGCGGCACCAGGGAUAACAACGCUUGCUUGUGUCUUUAAGUGGGUGACACCAUUACUGGCUGGAUCAGACCAGUGCAGGAUGGACCAUUUAUCUGUAAAGGAAGCUCUUAUCCCACGCGUUCGGACCGGGCUGCUCCACCAGCAGUGUCUGCUCUAGGUGUGAACGCACAGAUGUGCAUGACGAGCACAUAGCGGCAAACCUAAAUUCACGUUGGACCUUCAAGGAGAGGAAGCAAGAGGAAAGUAUGAAAGGAAAGAAGGGUGAUUUAUAAGCUAAUGACAAAGGAUGGAAUAAAGCCUCCUCACCAACCA